UGUUUAGUACAGGUUCAAGGCAAUGAGAUGCAUAUGUGAUUGGCUUCUACAACCAACAAAGAACGUUACAAAGGACUUAUGGAGAAUAUAUUGGAUUGGUCAAUUCGUGGUGAUCUUCGACGUGUGAUAAACGCCUUGAAAAGUGGCGAAGAUGUUAACUAUUAUGAAUUAGAUUCGAAAACACCACUUCAUUUUGCUGCAGAAGAGGGGCACUUCGAAGUAGUUUCUACGUUACUCAAAUCUGGGGGAGACCCUAGGUUAACUAAUAACUGU